UACAGAGGGGGCAAGCGUUGUUCGGAAUUACUGGGCGUAAAGCGCGUGUAGGCGGGACGGUUAGUCGGACGUGAAAGGCUCGGGCUCAACCCGAGAUGGCCGUUCGAAACUGCCGUUCUUGAGGGUCGAAGAGGAGAGUGGAAUUCCUGGUGUAGCGGUGAAAUGCGUAGAGAUCAGGAGGAACACCCAUGGCGAAGGCAGCUCUCUGGUCGACAUCUGACGCUGAGACGCGAAAGCGUGGGGAGCGAACGGG
rnacentral:rRNA from 1 species